GCCAGGUGUGGUGGCGCUCACCUGUAAUCCCAGCAGCUCUGGAGGCUGAGGCAGGAGGACUGCAAGUUCAAAGCCAGUCUCAGCAAUUUAGUGAGGCCCUAAGGAACUCAGUGAGACCCUAUCUCUA
rnacentral:sRNA from 1 species